rfam:Stegodyphus mimosarum contig106671, whole genome shotgun sequence.
GCCUUCGUGGUGUAGUGGUCUGCAUGAUCGACGCGUAACCGAGAGGUCCGUGGUUCGAUUCCCGGCGAAGGCG